rnacentral:rRNA from 1 species
CACGGGGGGAGCAAGCGUUGUUCGGAAUCACUGGGCGUUAAGGGCGUGUAGGCGGUCAUGUAAGUGGAAUGUGAAAUCCCUCGGCUUACCCGAGGACCUGCAUCCCAAACUGCAUGACUUGAGUACGGGAGAGGAUGAGGGAAUUCCUGGUGUAGCGGUGAAAUGCGCAGAUAUCAGGAGGAACACCGGUGGCGAAGGCGGGUCUCUGGGCCGAUACUGACGCUGAGGAGCGAAAGCGUGGGGAGCGAACAGG